rnacentral:lncRNA from 1 species
ACAACUUAAGAUCAAUGAACCCAAAAUGAUCAGUUUCCUACAACCAUCUAGAGCUGAAAAUUUUCACCUCGAAAUGAAGCUAUUAUUCUGAAAUAAGCAGUAACAACAUUACAAUCGGAAAAUACGACAAACUCAGAUAUCUAAAAUAGAAAAACUUCCACACUUAUUCAACAAUAGUUGAGAACAAGCCAAUUUAACAGGUAGAGAAACACAAUUAAAAAGAAAAAAGAAAAAAGACAACAAUUUAUAAAAAGCUCCUUCAAAGGCCUACGUGGAGAAUCUUCCACUUCACUAUAAGAGGAGGAAGAGAAGCCACGUAAGGAAAUGAGGCCAUGGCCUGGUCGCCGUUCGGUUGGAGUUAUUGGAGGCGACGAGCAGUCGCCAGCGCAGGACAAACCGGAGGGGAAAAACUAAUGGAAAUCCCUUUUUCCUUUUACAUCAUUAAAAAAUAAAAAUAAAAAAAAGGCCAAAAUGAGGCCCUUC